rnacentral:rRNA from 1 species
GGCGAACGGGUGAGUAAUGUAUCGGAACUACCUUUCAGUGGGGGAUAACGUAGCGAAAGUUACGCUAAUACCGCAUAUUCUGUGAGCAGGAAAGCAGGGGAUCGCAAGACCUUGCGCUGAUUGAGCGGCCGAUAUCAGAUUAGCUAGUUGGUGAGGUAAAGGCUCACCAAGGCGACGAUCUGUAGCGGGUCUGAGAGGAUGAUCCGCACACUGGAACUGAGACACGGUCCAGACUCCUACGGGAGGCAGCAGUGGGGAAUUUUGGACAAUGGGCGCAAGCCUGAUCCAGCCAUGCCGCGUGAGUGAAGAAGGCCUUCGGGUUGUAAAGCUCUUUCAGCCGGGAAGAAAACGCAUGGGUUUAAUACCCUGUGUGGAUGACGGUACCGGAAUAAGAAGCACCGGCUAACUACGUGCCAGCAGCCGCGGUAAUACGUAGGGUGCGAGCGUUCACUCGGAAUUACUGGGCGUCAAAGCGUGCGCAGGCGGUUCGUCAAAGAUAGGCGUGAAAUCCCCGGGCUCAACCUGGGAACUGGCGGUUCNGGGUGGAACUUGGGCAGGGCCUAANAAAGUAAUGGGGCCCAGNAAGGGGCNGUUGGGAAA